rnacentral:rRNA from 1 species
AUGGCAAUGCCUUGGGAGAUGGUGGUGUGCAUAGCGGGCAACGUGUGGGUGCUGCUCGACGGCUGGAUCUCCGUCUGCUUCCUGGCCGCGGACGAGGCCGCCCGCCUCCUCCGGUCGGCUACCGAUUGA